rnacentral:rRNA from 1 species
AUCUGCCCUUCACUCUGGGACAAGCCCUGGAAACGGGGUCUAAUACCGGAUAACACUCUGUCCCUCAUGGGGCGGGGUUAAAAGCUCCGGCGGUGAAGGAUGAGCCCGCGGCCUAUCAGCUUGUUGGUGGGGUAAUGGCCUACCAAGGCGACGACGGGUAGCCGGCCUGAGAGGGCGACCGGCCACACUGGGACUGAGACACGGCCAAAACUCAUACGGGAGGCAGCAGUGGGGAAUAUUGCACAAUGGGCGAAAGCCUGAUGCAGCGACGCCGCGUGAGGGAUGACGGCCUUCGGGUUGUAAACCUCUUUCAGCAGGGAAGAAGCGAAAGUGACGGUACCUGCAGAAGAAGCACCGGCUAACUACGUGCCAGCAGCCGCGGUAAUACGUAGGGUGCGAGCGUUGUCCGGAAUUAUUGGGCGUAAAGAGCUCGUAGGCGGCUUGUCACGUCGGAUGUGAAAGCUCGGGGCUUAACCCCGAGUCUGCAUUCGAUACGGGCUAGCUAGAGUGUGGUAGGGGAGAUCGGAAUUCCUGGUGUAGCGGUGAAAUGCGCAGAUAUCAGGAGGAACACCGGUGGCGAAGGCGGAUCUCUGGGCCAUUACUGACGCUGAGGAGCGAAAGCGUGGGGAGCGAACAGGAUUAGAUACCCUGGUAGUCCACGCCGUAAACGUUGGGAACUAGGUGUUGGCGACAUUCCACGUCGUCGGUGCCGCAGCUAACGCAUUAAGUUCCCCGCCUGGGGAGUACGGCCGCAAGGCUAAAACUCAAAGGAAUUGACGGGGGCCCGCACAAGCAGCGGAGCAUGUGGCUUAAUUCGACGCAACGCGAAGAACCUUACCAAGGCUUGACAUAUACCGGAAAGCAUCAGAGAUGGUGCCCCCCUUGUGGUCGGUAUACAGGUGGUGCAUGGCUGUCGUCAGCUCGUGUCGUGAGAUGUUGGGUUAAGUCCCGCAACGAGCGCAACCCUUGUUCUGUGUUGCCAGCAUGCCCUUCGGGGUGAUGGGGACUCACAGGAGACUGCCGGGGUCAACUCGGAGGAAGGUGGGGACGACGUCAAGUCAUCAUGCCCCUUAUGUCUUGGGCUGCACACGUGCUACAAUGGCCGGUACAAUGAGCUGCGAUGCCGCGAGGCGGAGCGAAUCUCAAAAAGCCGGUCUCAGUUCGGAUUGGGGUCUGCAACUCGACCCCAUGAAGUCGGAGUUGCUAGUAAUCGCAGAUCAGCAUUGCUGCGGUGAAUACGUUCCCGGGCCUUGUACACACCGCCCGUCACGUCACGAAAG